rnacentral:misc_RNA from 1 species
GAUGAAGAACGUAGCGAAAUGCGAUACUUGGUGUGAAUUGCAGAAUCCCGUGAACCAUCGAGUUUUUGAACGCAAGUUGCGCCCGAAGCCGUUAGGCCGAGGGCACGCCUGCCUGGGCGUCACAUAUCGUUGCCUGAUGCCAGUUUCCUCGUGAUGGGUGACUGUGCAGGGCGAAUGAUGGCUUCCCGUGAGCAUUGUUGCCUCAUGGUUGGUUGAAAAUUGAGUCCUUGGUAGGGAGCGCCGUGAUAGAUGGUGGUUGAGUGACGAACGAGACCCAAUCAUGUGAGACCCCUACCGAAUUUGGCCUUCAUGACCCACAUGCGUCUUUGGAACGCUCAUGACGAGACCUCAGGUCAGGCGGGGCUACCCGCUGAGUUUAAGCAUAUCAAUAAGCGGAGGA